CAUCACUACGCUAGAUGCAUAUCAAUAAGCGGAGGAAAAGAAACUAACAAGGAUUCCCCUAGUAACGGCGAGUGAAGCGGGAAGAGCUCAAAUUUGAAAUCUUAAAAGGUUUUCCUUUUACGAAUUGUAGUUUAAAGAAGUGUUUUCCGUUGAAGUUUUGGUACAAGUUCUUUGGAAUAGGACAUCAUAGAGGGUGAGAAUCCCGUAUUUGACCUUAAUUUUUCAACUUUGUGAUACACUUUCAAAGAGUCGGAUUGUUUGGGAAUGCAGUCCAAAAUGGGUGGUAAAUUUCAUCUAAGGCUAAAUAUUGGCGAGAGACCGAUAGCGAACAAGUACCGUGAGGGAAAGAUGAAAAGAACUUUGAAAAGAGAGUUAAAUAGUACGUGAAAUUGUCAAAAGGGAAGCGUUUGGCACCAGUGUUGUUUUUCUAAAAAUCAAUUUAAAAUUUGCUUAUGUUAAGUGUUUUAGACUUAAUCGGCUAUACAUUUAAUUCUUUGUAAAUUUUGAAUGCACUUUUUAGUUAACAAGUCAACAUCAAUUUUUUUUGCUGUAAAAAAGUAAGAGGAAGGUGGCUUGGGAUUCGUUUCGAAGUGUUUAUAGCCUCUUGCCCAUGCAGUAGGAGAGAUUGAGGUCUGCAGCAUAGAUCCUUCGGGGCUAGAUGCUUUGUGCUAGAAGCUAGUAUUAUAUAGACAACUUGUUGAUUAUGUAAUAUAUUAGUUUCUACUCGCUAAAGUUAUUUUACCUACGCUUAGGAUGUUGACUGAUAUGUAGUCGU
rnacentral:rRNA from 1 species